AUGUGGUACAUCUACACAAUGGAAUAUUACUCAGCUAUCAAAAACAAUGACUUUAUGAAAUUGUAGGCAAAUGGUUGGAACUGGAAAAUAUCAUCCUGAGUGAGCUAACCCAAUCACAGAAAGACAUACAUGACCCAGAACCUCCAGGUUCGCCAAACAGCAGCAGGCCUCUCAGCAGGCAUCCACAGCAGCAGAUCCUACUCUCAAAAUUAAUCCCUCCCUGACAGAGUUGAAAGCCCUGGUCCACAAGGAGCCCGACAAGAAUUCAUUAUUCCUAGAAGAAAAGGCUGCCCCACCCUUACAGGCUGCAAGCAUAAAAUUGAGAGUUAUGCUCGCCUUUACUGACAUGGGUACCUGUAAGGGGUGUGAGAAGAGGUACUGCAAGGUGAGGACCCUCUUGUCUAUCUCUGAGUCCCCUGAGAAGAGCAGCAAGUCCGCUGCAUCUGAGACACCGCCAGAACCUGAAGGGACCGACCAGAUAAACAGUUCUCUGCACCCAAAUCCUGUGGGAGGGAGAGCUAAACCUUCAGAGAGGCAGACACGCCUGAGAAACCAGAAGAGACUACACUCUGCCCACAUCUCUGACUCCAGAGGAAAACACCAAACGCCAUCUGGAACCCUGGUGCACGGAAGCUCCCGGAAAGGGCAGCACAGAUCUUCCUGGUUGCUGCCCCUGUGGAGAGCUCAAAAGCAACACCCCACGAGCAAACUUGAGCCUGGGGACCACAGGAAGAGACAAGGAGCUGUAGAUACAAGCAUCACCAACAGAAUACAAGAGAUAGAAGAGAGAAUCUCAGGAGCAGAAGAUUCCAUAGAAAUCAUUGACUCAACUGUCAAAGAUAAUGGAAAACGGAAAAAGCUAUUGAUCCAAAACAUACAGGAAAUCCAGGAAUCAAUGUGA